UACAGAGGUGGCAAGCGUUGUUCGGAAUCACUGGGCGUAAAGGGUGCGUAGGCGGGUUUUUAAGUCAGAGGUGAAAUCCUGGAGCUCAACUCCAGAACUGCCUUUGAUACUGAGAAUCUUGAGUUCGGGAGAGGUGAGUGGAACUGCGAGUGUAGAGGUGAAAUUCGUAGAUAUUCGCAAGAACACCAGUGGCGAAGGCGGCUCACUGGCCCGAUACUGACGCUGAGGCACGAAAGCGUGGGGAGCAAACAGG
rnacentral:rRNA from 1 species